GAUGAACGCUGGCGGCGUGCUUAACACAUGCAAGUCGAACGAAACACCUUAUUUGAUUUUCUUCGGAACUGAAGAUUUGGUGAUUGAGUGGCGGACGGGUGAGUAACGCGUGGGUAACCUGCCCUGUACAGGGGGAUAACAGUCAGAAAUGACUGCUAAUACCGCAUAAGACCACAGCACCGCAUGGUGCAGGGGUAAAAACUCCGGUGGUACAGGAUGGAACCGCGUCUGAUUAGCUGGUUGGUGAGGUAACGGCUCACCAAGGCGACGAUCAGUAGCCGGCUUGAGAGAGUGAACGGCCACAUUGGGACUGAGACACGGCCCAAACUCCUACGGGAGGCAGCAGUGGGGAAUAUUGCACAAUGGGGGAAACCCUGAUGCAGCGACGCCGCGUGAGUGAAGAAGUAUUUCGGUAUGUAAAGCUCUAUCAGCAGGGAAGAAAAUGACGGUACCUGACUAAGAAGCCCCGGCUAACUACGUG
rnacentral:rRNA from 1 species